rnacentral:rRNA from 1 species
UCCUACGGGAGGCAGCAGUGGGGAAUAUUGGACAAUGGGCGCAAGCCUGAUCCAGUCAUGCCGCGUGAGUGAUGAAGGCCCUAGGGUUGUAAAGCUCUUUCACCGGUGAAGAUAAUGACGGUAACCGGAGAAGAAGCCCCGGCUAACUUCGUGCCAGCAGCCGCGGUAAU